rnacentral:lncRNA from 10 species
UUCUGCCCAUGGGCACAGGCAAUUGGUCUCAACUGCGCAUGGUUUGCCCUGUAAUGCCCUCCAAAUGACCAGCUGAAAAGAUUGAUAGUCUAGAGCAGAGGACCUGCGGCACCUGAUCCACAGACCAGACAGUUAGGAGGCUUCUUUGUCCUCCCAGAAGUGCAGGCAAAGUUUUGGUGUUCAUCAAAUGAGUGAUCAAUGACAGGUUAUCACACCUACUGCAAAAAUAUAUGGCACUUCCCUCUCCACCUCCACAGUGGGCUGUGAAAAUUAAUUGAGUUCAGGCUGUGAAAAACUUAAGCUGCUACAUGAAAUGCAAAAUCAUUAAGCUUCAGAGAUUGUAACAUUCUGCUUGUGGCCUUGGGACUGAAACACCAGAUGUCAUGCCCAAUAAUGACUUCACUUUUCAUCCAACUUCAACAACUCAAGAUUGAGCGCAUUUUGGGUUUUGACCUUGCACUGCUAUACUGAGAUUCAGCAGAAGUUAACUACCCGCAAGACUCCCUCCAGAGAACUGAGGCCUCAGGAUCAUCUUCAACACCUUCACCCAGAGUACGGAGACAAAACCCUUGCCACAUAGACCUGCCACACCACAAUACCAGGUGGAGAUGCACCGUUGCUUGAGUUGGUCCACCAAGAAAGUUGCCAUAGAAGCCUGAAGUUACGACAGCUUAUAAGGAAGUGGUUAUCGAUUAUGACGGAUGGAGAAAAUGGCAAACGUGGCUGAAAGUGGACAUUUUUGCCUUGACAACUCCAUCUGCUCCUCCUCUAUGAAAGCUCCAUCCAGGGCCAGGCGCGGUGGCUCGUGCCUGUAAUCAACACUUUGGGAGGCCAAGAGAUGCCCAGGUCCCAAAUGUAAUAAUUCCAUGGUAUGAUGGGUUGCUGCUGCACCUGUCUGAUUUG